AUUGUGUGAAUUUGGUAAAGGGAGCCAAGGACAAUCAUUUGAGGGUUAAGGGACCUGUCAGGAUCCCUACAAAGGUUCUCCACAUCACCACUCCCAAGUCCCCUGGCGGUAAAGGUUUUGAUGGAGCCAGCCGUAUUGAACCGUGAAAGAGUUGCAUUGGACAAGAAAAACAGGAUGCCUGACUUCAGGUUGUUCGAUGACUAUAGCGAUGAAGAUUUUUAUGGGGUACAACGGAAGUAUAGUAUUGUCGCUCGAGUUGAAGUUAAAUUCCCGAUUGAACCACGUUAUCGUGACAGGCAACAUUACAUUUUGUCUGACAUCAAUGGAGCCAAGAUCGAGGCCAUUGCAAAUCGGUAUGAGAUAGUCAAAUACUUCAACAGUUUGCUCCAUGAAAAGCAUGUCUACAAGAUGCACAACGUAUGGUUUGGUCUUAAUCCGGGUGCAUUUAAUUUUCGACAUCUAAAUGGUACCAUGGAGUUGUAUUUCACCCACCAAACUGUCGUAGAGCCAUACGCUGUCCCAGUUCAAAUGCCGCCAUUUCCAAAACAUAUAUUCUUGAACCUUGAUGAUAUUGCCGAGCUGCCAAACAGGACUUUAGUUGACAUUAUGGCUAUUGUAGUCCACUUGGAUACAAUCCAUCGCACAAUGUGGGGUACAUUCAGGAAGAUUGUUAUAAUGGAUGCUAGGUGGUCUUUACAUACCAUUAAAGUUUGGGGCGAUUUACUAAACAAAAAUGCACUACGCUGGGCGUUGGCUAAUGAGAAUUAUAGCAUCAUAAUUGGGACCAUAUUUCGGUGGUUCAGAAAACAAGAGUGUCUCGAAUCAACUGACCAUACAACAAUACACUUCAAACCGUUCCAUCACAACACCCAUUAUUUUGAACCAAUUCAAAAGGCUUUGGUGGCGCGGAACGAUCGUCAGUUUGUCGUUAGAUAUCUUGACGACCAAAGGCGUAGAUAGAGUCUGUAACUUUUGCAGAUCUGAAUUUUAUGAUGGAAUACAUGUACUGUUAGUGAUGCAACUUACAUGUGUCAAGAUUUGUAAAACAUUUUGUUCUACCGUGACAUAUCAGUGAAUAAGUGG